GAUGAACGCUGGCGGCGUGCCUAAUACAUGCAAGUCGAGCGAACAGACGAGGAGCUUGCUCCUCUGACGUUAGCGGCGGACGGGUGAGUAACACGUGGAUAACCUACCUAUAAGACUGGGAUAACUUCGGGAAACCGGAGCUAAUACCGGCUAACAUGUUGAACCGCAUGGUUCAACAGUGAAAGACGGUCUUGCUGUCACUUAUAGAUGGAUCCGCGUCGGCUUAGCUAGUUGGUAAGGUAACGGCUUAACAAGGCAACGAUGCGUAGCGGGCCUGAGAGGGUGAUCGGCCACACUGGAACUGAGACACGGUCCAGACUCCUACGGGAGGCAGCAGUAGGGAAUCUUCCGCAAUGGGCGAAAGCCUGACGGAGCAACGCCGCGUGAGUGAUGAAGGUCUUCGGAUCGUAAAACUCUGUUAUUAGGGAAGAACAAAUGUGUAAGUAAAUAUGCACGUCUUGACGGUACCUAAUCAGAAAGCCACGGCUAACUACGUG
rnacentral:rRNA from 1 species